rnacentral:rRNA from 1 species
CGAGUGAAGAGGGAAGAGCUCAAAUUUUGAAUCUGGCGUCUUUGGCGUCCGAAUUGUAAUCUAGAGAAGUGUUUUCCAUGACGGACCGUGCAUAAGUCUCCUGGAAUGGAGUGUCAUAGAGGGUGAGAAUCCCGUAUAUGGCACGGACUCCCGUUGUUCUGUGAUACACUCUCGACGAGUCGAGUUGUUUGGGAAUGCAGCUCUAAAUGGGUGGUAAAUGCCAUCUAAAGCUAAAUAUUGGCGAGAGACCGAUAGCGAACAAGUACCGUGAGGGAAAGAUGAAAAGCACUUUGGAAAGAGAGUGAAACAGUACGUGAAAUUGUUGAAAGGGAAACGCUUGAAGUCAGUCGCGCCGUUCGGGAUUCAGCCUUGCUUCUGCUCGGUUUACUUCCCGUUGGGUGGGUCAACAUCAGUUUCGGACGGAGGAGAAAGGCUUGGGGAAGGUAGCAGCAUUCGUGCUGUGUUAUAGCCCCUUGUUGUAUACUUCGACCGGGACUGAGGACUGCAGCACGCCUAUGGCCGGGGUUUACCCACGUACGUGCUUAGGAUGUUGGCA